rnacentral:lncRNA from 1 species
CACUCAAUUCGAUACAGCUAUAGAUUCUGCAACAAGUAACCUUUGCUGGAAAAGGAAUUCAAGCUUAUUUUCAAGCUUUGCCCAUGCAUUGAUUUGAGAAGUCAUAACCCAAUUCAGUCGUUUGUCAUGAAAAGAAAAUGUCUAAGCAUGCCCCUUAGGCUAGGCACACUGAUAACACAUGAUUGCUUAAUCGUAAGACAUGGGCUAAGUUUAGCAGGAAUAUAUGGACCAUCAGAGUACGGACUAUUUUAGCAGCAAGGCAAACAUCUAAAUAACCAAUAAUUAGGUAGAAAAGCGCAAAUUACAACUUUCAAUCUUUCAAGAAAGGCGAACUUAAAAAAUUGCCAGGGACGAGUACCUUCAAACUGUAUAACUUCCAAUUUCAGCAUGGCUGCAAAGCCAGCUGUGUAACCACGGAUGCUUAUAAUUUUUAUUUAGUUAAGAAUCAAACAACUGGUGAAAAAUAAACGAAAAUAUACUGUUUUUUGAAGGAGCAUGUCAAUUCUUGGUCAUGACCAAUGCUCCAUAAACCACCUCUCCAGAUGCUGCAUACGAUAUGUGUACUAGUAAGCAGAGUUAAUGCAACAAAAGAUAAGAAUGCACUUGGCAUGCAUCAUCAAUAAAUCACUAUAAUCCCCGCAAACAAAUCAAUUAUAAAGUAGUCUCUGGCCAGAUUAUAACUGCACAAACAAUGUGCUACUAGCAGAUUAUAGUAUGUGUACUGGUAGGCAGAGUUACACAAAAGAAGCAAAUCAGGAUGGUUAUAUGAACUAACUCACCAAGGUCUCGCAUGUUCAGUGACAGGA